rnacentral:rRNA from 2 species
GGAUGCGAUCGUAUCAGCACUAAAACCACCGGAUCCCAUUAGAACUUUAAAGUUAAGAGUGCUUGGAUGAGUAGUAGUACUAGGAUGGGUGGGUGACCUCUUGGAAAGUCAUCGUGUUGCAUUCC